GUCUUUGACCUCGGAUCAGGUAGGGAUACCCGCUGAACUUAAGCAUAUCAAUAGGC
rnacentral:rRNA from 1 species